rnacentral:lncRNA from 1 species
UUGGAAGUGGAUUGUUUACUAAUGUUAUGCUUCAGUGUCUCUGGACAGUUUACAGAUAACCUUUUUAUUUUGUUUCACCGUUGAAAUAUUAGACUCUUGCACAAAUCGAACCAUUUGUCUAUGAGUGGACUUCAGCACAAAGAGGAAGCAUCAGUGCAGAGCAUGGUUUGGGGCUAAUGAAAGCAGAGAAGAUUCACUACAGCAAAUCACCUGAAGCAGUAAGUGUUUCUAAAUUAUACAGUAAGGAAUAUGAUAAUUAUACUCAGUGGUAAAAUUUAUCGAUUGAGAAGAUUCACUACAGCAAAUCACCUGAAGCAGUAAGUGUUUCUAAAUUAUACAGUAAGGAAUAUGAUAAUUAUACU